rnacentral:lncRNA from 1 species
UUUUUUUUAAAGCUAAACCUUUGAUCACUGGCCACCUGUAGAAGUGAGUUUUAUUGAAGAAGCCCAGCUGCUGUCCUUAUUGCCAGCAGCCUAGGAGGCUCCCUUUAGAGUGAGCUACUUCUCAGGCCAGGCACGACAGCAGUGCUAGUGAAUUUGAAAUAGCAGGAAACAGCCCCUGCAUGCAGAGCUUCCCGCCUGAGAACUCCCCAGGCUAGGCCUCCAAGCAGCUGUGUAGCCAGAGACCCUUGGUAUUGUGGUCACAUCCCUCCAAGUGGACGGUCACCAUCAGUGGUGUUUGGAGGAAGCCGGGAUGCUGCAGAUGCUGUGGCAGUUUCUGUCUAGCUUUUUCCCUAGGGCUGGGUGCCAGGACUCCAGAGAGGGCACGGAUCAUGAAGUCAGAGGCACCCAGGCUCCUGCUCCGGGUAACCAGAUGUCAAGCUUUUUUGGGAAACAAGAUGGAAGGGCUGAGGCCACCGAAAAGAGACCCACCAUUUUGCUGGUGGUUGGACCUGCAGAGCAG